rnacentral:rRNA from 1 species
GACGAACGCUGGCGGCGUGCCUAAUACAUGCAAGUUGAGCGAUGAAGAUUGGUGCUUGCACCAAUUUGAAGAGCAGCGAACGGGUGAGUAACGCGUGGGGAAUCUGCCUUUGAGCGGGGGACAACAUUUGGAAACGAAUGCUAAUACCGCAUAACAACUUUAAACAUAAGUUUUAAGUUUGAAAGAUGCAAUUGCAUCACUCAAAGAUGAUCCCGCGUUGUAUUAGCUAGUUGGUGAGGUAAAGGCUCACCAAGGCGAUGAUACAUAGCCGACCUGAGAGGGUGAUCGGCCACAUUGGGACUGAGACACGGCCCAAACUCCUACGGGAGGCAGCAGUAGGGAAUCUUCGGCAAUGGACGAAAGUCUGACCGAGCAACGCCGCGUGAGUGAAGAAGGUUUUCGGAUCGUAAAACUUUGUUGGUAGAGAAGAACGUUGGUGAGAGUGGAAAGCUCAUCAAGUGACGGUAACUACCCAGAAAGGGACGGCUAACUACGUG